rnacentral:misc_RNA from 1 species
UUUCCGUAGGUGAACCUGCGGAAGGAUCAUUACACAAUUUGGCCGUAACAAGCCUCAACCCUUCUCUACGCGCACCUUUACAUUCUCCCUCGGCGGGGUAACGCCCGCCGUCGGAACCAACAAACCCCUUUUGCAUCUAGCAUCCUACCCGUUCAGAUAAAAACUUAAUAGUUACAACUUUCAACAAUGGAUCUCUUGGCUCUGGCAUCGAUGAAGAACGCAGC